rnacentral:tRNA from 1 species
GUAAAACCUCAGCCUUCCAAGCUGAUGACGAGGGUUCGAUUCCCUUCACCCGCUCCA